AUGAACGCUGGCGGCGUGGAUAAGGCAUGCAAGUCAAACGGGCUCUGUAGCAAUACAGAGUACAGUGGCGAACGAGUUAGUAACAUCUUGGUACGUCCCCCCGAGACGGGAAUAACUAGUCGAAAGAUUAGCUAAUGUCCGAUGGUCUCGUAAGAGUAAAGACGCAAGUCACUCGGGGAGCGGCCUAGAUCCUAUCAGCUUGUUGGCGGGGUAACGGCCCACCAAGGCUAUGACGGGUAGGGGGUGUGAGAGCACGACCCCCAACGACGGUACUGAGAAACGGACCGUACAUCUACGGAUGGCAGCAGUCAAGAACAUUCGACAAUGGGCGAAAGCCUGAUCGAGCGACGCCGCGUGCAGGAAGAAGCCCCUAGGGGCGUAAACUGCUUUUGCCAUGGAAAAAUUUUGAUUGUACAUGGCGAAUAAGGGGUUGCUAACCUCGU
rnacentral:rRNA from 1 species